rnacentral:tRNA from 1 species
AAAUAAGUACCUAAAGGGUGCAUAGCUACGGUCUAUGUAUAGCAUUAAAGCCUUAUUUG